rnacentral:lncRNA from 1 species
UUAUAUAUAUAUAUAUCAUAACAUAGUGAGUACACAAUUAAUUAAGAUUAAUUGCAAUAUUACUAAUUUAUUAAUAUAAUUAUUUGUAAAAUAAAUAAUUAUAACAUAAUGACACAUCUAAUUAAUUAAAUAUCACUUCAUACAUGAAGCAAAUUAUUGAAUAAAUGAUAAAAUCUGUCAAUAGAAUACAUGUAUUGUAUAUAAAAAUAUAGGGAUGUUACAUUUCACAACUCAAGCAUCAGAAACACAACCAAAAUUGGCAGAGAGCUUAGUCUUAAUAAGGAAGAAAAAGAUGAACCCUUGUGGUCACACAUCAAAAGCUUAACCAAGAGGCCAUUUUGGUUAAAAGCGUUGAUGAUGAGAUGAAGAAAUAUAUACUAAAUCUUGGACUUUAUUCUAUAUCUGAUUUCAAAUAAAGUAUCAGGAUCAAUGCCCUGGAAACCUUUAGCAAUCAACUAGUAAUGGUAGAAAACUAUAUACAAUAUGAAGAUAAUAUGUUCAUAAGAAGAAGGUACCGAAAGCUUUGAGACAUGCAAUAGAUAAAAUAAAGAUCCAAGGAGCAACACAUAGCAAAGGAACAAAGGAGUGAGAAAUAAAUAUAACCAUCUCGACCAAAAAAGUAGAGGAAGUGGAUUACUCCCCUCAAGGUAUCAAGAUUAAACAUUCAAAAUACUUAUAGAGAACACAUUAUAUAAGAAUGCAUCAAUGCUAAGGGUGGAAAAAGGACGACCACUAAAAGUAGAUUGGAUGUACCAAAACCUUGGCUCAAGGAAACCGAAGAUAGAUAAGGGCGGGACCGACCACCAAUAAAGCCUUAAAGUAGAAAAAUCCAUGCCCACCCUACUUAAGCAUGUGCCCUCCAAAGCAUGUCAAAAA